rnacentral:rRNA from 1 species
ACGACUACACUCCUACGGGAGGCAGCAGUGGGGAAUAUUGCACAAUGGGGGAAACCCUGAUGCAGCCAUGCCGCGUGUGUGAAGAAGGCCUUCGGGUUGUAAGGCACUUUCAGUAGGGAGGAAAGGGUAAGGUUUAAUACGCCUUAUCUGUGACGUUACCUACAGAAGAAGGACCGGCUAACUCCGUGCCAGCAGCCGCGGUAAUACGGAGGGUCCGAGCGUUAAUCGGAAUUACUGGGCGUAAAGCGUGCGCAGGCGGUUUGUUAAGCGAGAUGUGAAAGCCCUGGGCUCAACCUAGGAAUAGCAUUUCGAACUGGCGAACUAGAGUCUUGUAGAGGGGGGUAGAAUUCCAGGUGUAGCGGUGAAAUGCGUAGAGAUCUGGAGGAAUACCGGUGGCGAAGGCGGCCCCCUGGACAAAGACUGACGCUCAGGUGCGAAAGCGUGGGGAGCAAACAGGAUUAGAUACCCUGGUAGUCCACCAAUCC